rnacentral:rRNA from 1 species
CCUACGGGCGGCUGCAGUGGGGAAUUUUGGACAAUGGGGGCAACCCUGAUCCAGCAAUGCCGCGUGAGUGAAGAAGGCCUUCGGGUUGUAAAGCUCUUUUGUCAGGGAAGAAAAGGCUGUGGCUAAUAUCCAUAGCUGCUGACGGUACCUGAAGAAUAAGCACCGGCUAUCUACGUGCCAGCAGCCGCAGUAAUACGUAGGGUGCAAGCGUUAAUCGGAAUUACUGGGCGUAAAGCGUGCGCAGGCGGUUUCGUAAGUCUGUCGUGAAAUCCCCGGGCAUAACCUGGGAAUGGCGAUGGAGACUGCGAGGCUAGAGGUUGGCAGAGGGGGGUAGAAUUCCACGUGUAGCAGUGAAAUGCGUAGAGAUGGGGAGGAACACCGAUGGCGAAGGCAGCUCCCUGGGUCAAAACUGACGCUCAUGCACGAAAGCGUGGGGAGCAAACAGGAUUAGAUACCCGUGUAGUC